GUUCAUGCUUUUACAGUAUGAAAAUUGGUGAUUUAUAAUAACUUAGCAAAUCGCAAAGUGAAAACAGGCGAUAAAUCAUUCAAGUUUCUGACCUAUCAGCUUUCGACGGUAUGGUAUUGGCUUACCGUGGCAGUGACGGUUAACGGGGGAUUAGGGUUCGAUUCCGGAGAGGGAGCCUGAGAAACGGCUACCACAUCUAAGGAAGGCAGCAGGCGCGCAAAUUACCCAAUUCUAACAGUUUGAGAGAGGUAGUAACAAGAAAUAACAAUACAAGGCAGUUAAAAUGCUUUGUAAUUGGAAUGAUAGAAAUUUAAACCCUUUUUAAAGUAUCAAUUGGAGGGCAAGUCUGGUGCCAGCAGCCGCGGUAAUUCCAGCUCCAAUAGCGUAUAUUAAAAUUGUUGCAGUUAAAAAGCUCGUAGUUGAAGUUCUGCUGAAAGUAACCGGUCUGCUUUUAAUAAAAGUGGUAUCUUGGUAUGUAUUUAGCAAUGAUGUCCUUUGAAGUGUUUUUUACUUUAUUGUAAUAAAGCAUAUUCAGGACUUUUACUUUGAGAAAAUUAGAGUGUUUCUAGCAGGCUGACGCUUUGAAUACUGCAGCAUGGAAUAAUAA
rnacentral:rRNA from 1 species